GUAGGGGGCAAGCGUUGUCCGGAUUUAUUGGGCGUAAAGAGCGUGUAGGCGGCCAGGCAGGUCCGUUGUGAAAACUAGAGGCUCAACCUCUAGAGGUCGAUGGAAACCGUCUGGCUAGAGUCCGGAAGAGGAGAGUGGAAUUCCUGGUGUAGCGGUGAAAUGCGCAGAUAUCAGGAAGAACACCCGUGGCGAAGGCGGCUCUCUGGGACGGUACUGACGCUGAGACGCGAAAGCGUGGGGAGCGAACAGGAUUAGAUACCCUGGUAGUCCACGCCGUAAACGAUGGGUGCUAGGUGUGGGAGGUGUCGACUCCUCCCGUGCCGAAGCUAACGCAUUAAGCACCCCGCCUGGGGAGUACGGCCGCAAGGCUAAA
rnacentral:rRNA from 1 species